rnacentral:rRNA from 1 species
UUUUUGUUAACGUAUUUAGCCACAUAGAAACCAACAGCCAUAUAACUGGUAGCUUUAAGCGGCUCACCUUUAGCAUCAACAGGCCACAACCAACCAGAACGUGAAAAAGCGUCCUGCGUGUAGCGAACUGCGAUGGGCAUACUGUAACCAUAAGGCCACGUAUUUUGCAAGCUAUUUAACUGGCGGCGAUUGCGUACCCGACGACCAAAAUUAGGGUCAACGCUAC